UUCAAAAUUGAUAUGAUGCAACUGCUGGUCAAGACUUUCAAUUGUCGAAUAUUUUUUGGCUGUUGGACUGGUUUAUAAUGUGAACAGGGUUGCCUCUACAUAUAAAAUCAACUUUAGGAAUGAGUUGACAAAGUUGUGCGUUAUAUUUGCCUAAUUUUGCUUCUGAACAUCUCGUAAAUAUUAAGACUUAUGCAUUCUCUUGCAUGACCUAAAUGUUCAAAAGGUUUG
rnacentral:lncRNA from 1 species